rnacentral:snRNA from 1 species
AUUGCUUCUCGGCCUUUUGGCUGAGAUCAAGUGUAGUAUCACAGGGAACUACUAUGCUGAAAAUGAAGUAUAUAACUCCCACCCAAGUUUUUUUUUUUUUUUAAUUCUACUAAAUGUGUGGGUAUCCUGAAAUGGUAUAUUUGUGGGUUUUAAAAAUUUCAUAUAAAGGCUUGUCUCU